UAGGCGUGCUGGAACCUCUCGGGGUUACAGCCUUGCUGAAUUAUUCACCCUUGUCUUUUGCGUACUUCUUGUUUCCUUGGUGGGUUCGGCCACCACUAGGACAAACAUAAACCUUUUGUAAUUGCAAUCAGCGUCAGUAACAAAUUAAUAAUUACAACUUUCAACAACGGAUCUCUUGGUUCUGGCAUCGAUGAAGAACGCCGCGAAAUGCGAUAAGUAGUGUGAAUUGCAGAAUUCAGUGAAUCAUCGAAUCUUUGAACGCACAUUGCGCCCUUUGGUAUUCCAAAGGGCAUGCCUGUUCGAGCGUCAUUUGUACCCUCAAGCUUUGCUUGGUGUUGGGCGUCUUGUCUGUAGCUUUGCUGGAGACUCGCCUUAAAGUAAUUGGCAGCCGGGCUACUGGUUUCGGAGCGCAGCACAAGUCGCACUCUCUAUCAGCAAAGGUCUAGCAUCCAUUAAGCCUUAUUUUCAACUUUUGACCUCGGA
rnacentral:sRNA from 1 species